rnacentral:rRNA from 1 species
AUUGAACGCUGGCGGCAGGCCUAACACAUGCAAGUCGAGCGGAGCGGAGGCCGGGUGAGUAAUGCCUAGGACUCUGCCUGGUCGUGGGGGAUAACGUCCGGAAACGGGCGCUAAUACCGCAUACUAUCAGAUGAGCCUAGGUCGGAUUGGCUAGUUGGUGGGGUAAAGGCCUACCAAGGCGACGAUCCGUAACUGGUCUGAGAGGAUGAUCAGUCACACUGGAACUGGGACACGGUCCAGAGUCCGACGUGAGGCAGCAGUGGGGAAUAGUGGACAAUGGGGGAAAGCCUGAUCCAGCCAUGCCGCGGGUGUGAAGAAGGUCGUCGGAUUGUAAAGCACGUUAAGUUGGGAGGCGUUACCAACAGAAUAAGCACCGGCUAACUACGUGCCAGCAGCCGCGGUAAUUC